AUACGGAGGACGCGAGCGUUAUCCGGAUUCAUUGGGUUUAAAGGGUGCGCAGGCGGCCGUGCAAGUCAGCGGUGAAAGCCCGGGGCUCAACCCCGGAAGUGCCGUUGAUACUGCAUGGCUGGAAUGCGGUCGAGGCGGGCGGGAAGUGGGGUGGAGAGGGGAAAUGCGUGGAUAUGCCACAGAACGCCGAUAGCGGAGGCAGCUCGCCAGGCCUGCAUUGACGCUCGGGCACGAAAGCGUGGGGAUCGAACAGGAUUAGAUACCCUGGUAGUCCACGCCGUAAACGAUGGGCGCUCGUCGUCGGCGGCAGACAGUCGGCGGCCAAGCGAAAGCGAUAAGCGCCCCACCUGGGGAGUACGGUCGCAAGGCUGAAACUCAAAGGAAUUGGCGGGG
rnacentral:rRNA from 1 species